GACGAACGCUGGCGGCGUGCUUAACACAUGCAAGUCGAACGGUAAGGCUCCAGCUUGCUGGGGUACACGAGUGGCGAACGGGUGAGUAACACGUGGGUGACCUGCCCUGCACUUCGGGAUAAGCCUGGGAAACUGGGUCUAAUACCGGAUAGGACCGCACCGUGAGGGUGUGGUGGAAAGUUUUUUCGGUGUGGGAUGGGCCCGCGGCCUAUCAGCUUGUUGGUGGGGUAAUGGCCUACCAAGGCGGCGACGGGUAGCCGGCCUGAGAGGGUGGACGGCCACAUUGGGACUGAGACACGGCCCAGACUCCUACGGGAGGCAGCAGUGGGGAAUAUUGCACAAUGGGCGGAAGCCUGAUGCAGCGACGCCGCGUGGGGGAUGACGGCCUUCGGGUUGUAAACUCCUUUCACCAUCGACGAAGGGUUUCUGACGGUAGAUGGAGAAGAAGCACCGGCUAACUACGG
rnacentral:rRNA from 1 species